AACGCACAUUGCGCCCGAGGCUUCGGCCGAAGGCAUGUCUGCCUCAGCGUCCUGUUUCGUUACCCCCUCUCCCUCGAGGUGGGUGAGCUGACGAUCCCCCUUCUCCUCGAAGGGCGUUCGUCGAAACGGAGUUCGAUCGAAGCCGCGCUCCCCCGUGCCUCGCGGCGCGGAAGCGCGACCGAAGCUUGGUAGGAGGGAGACCUCUUUAUCGCUUUGGCCGUGCGUGGGACACUGGUCGAGGUCGUGAACCUUUCAUUUCAACGCUCAGGACCUGAGCUCAGGCAAGGCUACCCGCUGAACUUAA
rnacentral:misc_RNA from 1 species